rnacentral:rRNA from 1 species
UGGGGAAUUUUGGACAAUGGGCGAAAGCCUGAUCCAGCAAUGCCGCGUGCAGGAAGAAGGCCUUCGGGUUGUAAACUGCUUUUGUACGGAACGAAAAGGCUCUUUCUAAUACAGAAGGCUAAUGACGGUACCGUAAGAAUAAGCACCGGCUAACUACGUGCCAGCAGCCGCGGUAAUACGUAGGGUGCAAGCGUUAAUCGGAAUUACUGGGCGUAAAGCGUGCGCAGGCGGUUAUGUAAGACAGUUGUGAAAUCCCCGGGCUCAACCUGGGAACUGCAUCUGUGACUGCAUAGCUAGAGUACGGUAGAGGGGGAUGGAAUUCCGCGUGUAGCAGUGAAAUGCGUAGAUAUGCGGAGGAACACCGAUGGCGAAGGCAAUCCCCUGGACCUGUACUGACGCUCAUGCACGAAAGCGUGGGGAGCAAACAGGAUUAGAUACCCCCGUAGUCCCUGAGCGGGCUGGCAAGGCGCAU